rnacentral:rRNA from 1 species
ACUCCUACGGGAGGCAGCAGUGGGGAAUAUUGCACAAUGGGGAAACCCGUAGCAUGCAGCCAUGCCGCGUGUGUGAAGAAGGCCUUCGGGUUGUAAAGCACUUUCAGUAGGGAGGAAGUAGUGUAGUUAACACCUGCACUAUUUGACGUUACCUACAGAAGAAGCACCGGCUAACUCCGUGCCAGCAGCCGCGGUAAUACGGAGGGUGCGAGC